ensembl:lncRNA
CCCAAAGUCUCUAGGAGAGAACUUCUGGGAGUGUAAUAAAUCAAGUGAGAUGGAAUAUAUAUAUAAUACUUAACAUAAUGAAAUGAAACUUUAUCGAUAUGGGAACCCCCUCUCUUGACACAGGAUUUAACAUUGCCAGGGUCCACUGAAUAGGAUGUAAUACAUGCUAGUCUGGGGAAAUGAUGGGUCAUACUCACUUAAGUAGAAAUUCCAGAACUCCAUGGUAAAUGGUUGAGCAAGGAAUCAAGAGGCUCAUAGAAGUGGGCAUGCUAGAGUGGAUGUGCUAUGUAAGGCCAGAGAGCCCACCCACGGUAGGAGAGCCCAGAAGAAUGCAGUUUACUGAACCUAUAAGGAAUGCACUUGUGAGGAGGCACCAGUGUUGUUGUGGAGCUCAGAUGUUAUUUCCUGGAGGCCAGGGCUAAGGAUAGGAGCAGCUUUACAGAACCCGGCUCCCUGAAAGCCAUGGUGAUAAUGGAAGCCAGUUCAUGGCAUUUAACCUUCAGAAGCUAAGUGCAUGUGAUUAUCAUAAUGAGCAGCAUCGCAGGAGUGGCAAGUAGAAGAGCCUGAGCCACCAAGAACUAUGCCAGUGGGUGAUGGAGCCUGAGGUUACGAGGGCAAGACAGCUGGGUGGACAGCAAGGGUAUUGUUCAAUGUAAACUGCAAAAGAAAUCAUGGUGGGUAAUCAGGAGGGUGAGGGCAGACAGCCCAAUACAAUGUCACAAUCCCUAGCUUAGUCUCCAGAACCUGUAACAUAUUGACUCAAGGAGAGGCUAGGUCCCCAUGAAGAUGGGCCACUAUGACACCAGUGCAACUGGAUACAUUAAUGGAUCUUUCCAGUUCUUCCUCAAAGGAAUUACAGCCAUUUCCUAGGUAACUAUACUCUGGGAAAGGGGAUAUGCUUAAACAUUUUGAGAACUGUUGAACCUAAGGUCUGACUUGAUAUGGAUAGUCAAAGACCUGAAGCCUCAUCCUGGCUUCUCUGGGAGAGUAGAGGUGUACAUUGGCCAAGCAAUAAAUGGAGUUCAGGCUCAUGUCCAGCUUAUAUGGGGCACAUGGAUUAACAAAGUGCUCAGUUCUUCAGUCGCUGAAUGUAUAAGUGGAGUGGUUAUACUUGGUAGUUGUCAGAAUGCUCAUUUGGAUUCCUUAGCCUGUGUGAUAAGAGCUAUCACAGAGUGCGAAGGCCAAGUAGAAGCCCCUAGAACUGCCUCCCCAGCCAAAAUCCUAAACCUAAAACAACUUUAUGUCCGAAGGGAAAUGGCAGAAAUCUGUGCCAUUCUUGAAGAACUAAAGGAUUCCUGGGUGGGGUCCCUUUCAUGUCCACAUUUAAUUUACUGGCAAAUUAAAUGUAUGGCCCCUACAUAAAGCAGAACAAUCCUCCUACACGAGAGUGGACUACUGUAAACAUCAUCAAGUCAUAACCCAGUUACAGCUCCUGUCGAUACCUGGUGGUGAGCAGUAGUGGCCUCUUUAGGUAGUUUGAAGGGAGUUGAUAAAGAUUAGCACAGCAAGAGUUGAAAUGGGAAGACCAGAGAUGUCUCCAGGUCCAGCUAAAUGAUGUUAAGGAUCCAGCUAAAGUUGAAGGCCAUGAAUUAGUGGUGGCCUCCAUUCUCUGAUUAUGUGAGUUUUCAUGCUCAGAAGCCUAGAUAUAGGCUCUAAAGUGCUGUACUCAUUUCCUAGGGCUGCUGUAACAAAGUACCAUAAACAGGGGAUUAAAAUAACUGAAAUUUAUUCUCUCACGGUUCUGGGAGGUUAGCAGUCCAAAAUCAAGGUGUCAGUAGGGCCAUGCUCUCUCUGAAGUCUCUAGAGAAGGAUUCUUCCUUGCCUCUUCCAGGUUCUAGUGUCUCUUGGCAAUCCUUGUCAUUCCUUGGCUUGUACUUACAUAAUCCCAACCUCCAUCUUUACAUGAUGAUCUUCCCUUCGUGUCUUCACAUCAUUUUCCCUCUCUGUGUGCAAGUAGGAACUCAACUCCUCCUCCUGAGUGUCUCCUUUUCUCUCUCACUACUACCACGCUCACAACACUUCUGACACCAGAUGUGUGUGUGUAUGCAGGGAGUUUCUCCAUACCAAACGAUUCUCUGUGGCACCAGCUGGACAUACUACAAUUUAACUCAAUUCUGACACUAUAUACUUGCAGAGCUUCCGAUCCCUCAGGUUAAGGGCUCAGUUCCGCAAGAAUUUUCCAUCCCAUGUCAGAGCCAAUCACAAGUAGUAGUUCCCCAGAUGUCAGACAGAAGUUGUGGGUAACCCUUCAUAUGCAAGUGGCAUACGAAGGGUGGUGGGAGCAGUCUUGCAGGACUGAGCCCGUAACUUGAGGGAACUGACACUCUGUCUGACUUGGCUACCAAUCAGAGGUUCUCAUGCCCCCUCCUCAGGUUCAAUUAAUUUGCUACAGCAGCUCACAGAACUCAGGAGAACACUUUCUUACAUUGAUCAGUUUAUUAAAGGAUAUGAUAAAGGAUAUAGAUGAGCUGCCAGUUGAAGAGAUAUAUAGGGUGAGGUUUGGGAGGGUCCCGGUGCAGGAGCUUCUGUCCCCAUGGAGUUGGGGUGCAAUCACUCUCCUGGUACAUUGGUGUCUCCACCCAUCUGGAAGCUCCAGAAACCCUAUACUAUUGGGAUUUUUAUGGAGGCUUCCCCAUGUAGGCAUGAUCAAUUGUUAAGUCCAUUUCCAGCCCGUCUCCCCUCUCUAGAGAAGUGGGGAGGGCAGGGCUGAAAUUCCAAACUUCUAACCAUGGCUUGAUCUUUCUGGUGACCAGCCCCCAUUCAGGCACCAUCCAGAAGCCCUAGAGUCACCUCAUUACAACAAAAGAUCUUCCUUGAGUUCUUAUCACUUAGGAAUUUACAAGGGUUUUUGGAGCCCUGUGUCAGAGACAGAAUCAAAGACCAAAUAUUAGAACAAGAAACGGUCCUAGUGUUCUUAUCACUUAGGAAUUUACAAGAGUUUUAGGAGCCCUGUGUCAGGAACCCAGGGCAGAAACCAACAUAUGUAUAUAUUAUCUAUUAUCUCACAGGAUGAAAAUUCCAGGCUCCUAAUUAUUGCUCAUUUUUUCUGAUGACCAGCUCACAUCCAGGAGCCCACCAAGAGUCACCAAAUUAGAACAAACAUUCCUAUCACCCAGAAAAUAUCAAAGGAUAUAGGAGCUCGGUGUCCGGGACCAGCUCAAAGACCAAAUGUUAGACGAAAGAUUCUCCUAGUGCUUUUAUCACUUAGGAAAUUACAGGGUUUUAGGAGCUCUGUGCCAGGAACUGGGCAGAGACCAAAUAACAUGAUUUCUAUUAUUUCACAGUGUGUCUUCUUUUGGACUCUGUUCUGUGUCCAGAUUUCCCUCCUUUUAUAAGGACGCCAGUCUUUGGGUUGGAGCCCACCUUGUCAUCAUGACCUCAUUAACUUCAUUGAUCACAUCUGCAAAGACUCACUUCCUAAUAGGUCACGUUCACAAGUACCUGGGAUUAGGACUUCCACAUAUCUUUCUAGGGGACACAACUUAACCCAUGACUAUGGCAUAGGUCCUGCAGUCAAGACGUGAAGGAUAUGAUUGACUGGGGGAAAGAAAAGAGGGCAUGAUAAUGUCAAAGAACAGGGAUAGUGGAAACGAGGGUGGGUUGAGAUAAUAAGUGCUCUAGUCAGAAACUAGAAUAUUGAGGUUUGCAUUUCCAGAGGGUGGGUGAUUUGGAUGGAUCCUAGAUCCAGAGAACAGCUAAGAGCACGGACCACUGAAGAGUGAGGAUAACGAUUGUCAGACUUAAGAGGUAAAGGAACAUUAUCUCUGUGAACAUUGGCGUUGCCCGUGAUCUUGGCAGGGGUUGGAGUGGGAGGAAAUUCUGUGAGCAAAAUACCAGUGAUAUCUGUGAAUGAUGGGGAGUGAACAGGAGAACUCAAGAGAAUAGUCUUGAGAAAGGCGAGAAGGUGCAUAUUACUAAGGGAAAGAAGCCAACGUGAAAAGGCUGUGUACUGUGUGAUUCCAACUAUAUGACAUGCUAGAAAAGGCAAAAUUAUGCACACAGUAAAAAGAUCAGUGAUUGUGAGAGGGUAAGCGGGGGGGAGGAUGAAUGAAUCCUUGUGGAGCACAGAGGAUUUUUAGGACAGUAAAACUUCUCUGUGUGACACUAUCCUAUAGUAUACUAUAUACACACCAUACAGUGUACACUGUGGUAUGUGAUAUUUUCCAAAGAUGUCUUCUGCAAUUCUCUUCUUACAAUGUCAUUUUGACACUUCUCACUUCUAGACGUGGAGUCUGUCCUUCUCUUGAACCUGGGCGGGCUUUGUGACUACUCUGAAAGUGAUGCCAUGUGACUUUAGAAGCUGGGUUGUAAAAUGUGAUAACUACUGCCUGGCUCUCCUGGGAGGUUUGCUCUUAGAGCACAGCCGCCAUAUUCUGAGGAAGCCCAGGCAGACGCACGGAGAGACCACACAUGGGCAUUUUGAGCAGGAGCCCCAGCUGACAGCCAGUAUCAACCACUGAGUGAGAGACCUUCAGAGGGUUCCAGUCCUUAGCUGUCUACUCAUCCCAGCCUCAAGGUCUCCCUUGCUGAGGCCUCAAACAUUGUGGAGCAAAGACAAGCCUUUCCUGCUGUGACAUUUCUGAAUUCCUGACUCAAAGAACCUGGGAGUACAAUAUAAGGGUUUUUUAAAUUCCACCAUUAAUUUGAGGGUGGUUGGUUAUGCAGCAACAGUAACUGGAACAGGUGGGGAAAACAGAGUAUUCAAUACAUGGUUUUGGGAAAAAAAAUAGGUAGCCGUUUGAAAAAUAAAGCCCAUCACUCAUACCAAAAUAAAUUCCUGAUGGGUCAAAGAGUGAAAUGUAAGAACUUAAACCAAAAAGUUACUAGGAUAAUAUUGGAGAAUUAAAAAAAAAAUUAGAAGGAAGAUUUUUUCUAAGUUGAUAAAAUCCUAAAAUCAUAAAACAAAAGAUCAAUAAAUAUGACUAAUAGAAAUAAUAAUAUAUUGCUCUGGGGAAAAAAACACCAUAAGUAAGAGUCAUAAGGAAAGUGAAAAGAUCUUAACCAUACGAUGAGUCAGUCAGAAAAAGACCAACGACCCGUUAGAGAAGGGAACAGAAGGAAGAGCCAAUUCACAGGAAAAAAGAAAUGCGAUUCUGACUGGUUGUGUCACUUUGGGCAAAUUUGUUAACCUCUGUUUGCCUCAGACUCCCCAUCUAUAAAAUGGUGAUGAUAACAACAGGAUUUAACUCAGGGUUUUUUGAGGAUUGAGUGACUUAAUGUAUGUGAGGCAUUUAGAACAGCAUCUGAGUAUAAUAGGCAGCAGUGUGGGAUCGCUAUUAGAUUUGCUGUAUUGAGAGGUUGGGGGUGGGGACGGGAAUGCUCUUGCAUUGCUUGUGGGAGAGUAAAUUUACUCACUGUGUAGAGGGCCAUUUGCCAGGAGCUUUAGGAACGAAAAAAAGUGACAAUCCAGCAUUUCCGUGUGUAAGGAUGCAUCCUACAAAUGUAGUCACACACGCGGGAAACACAGCACGGGCAAAGGUGCUCAUUGGAACGUUGUUUGUAGCAGCCGGACUAGAACAGUCUAAUAUGCCCCUCCAUCCACAGGCGAUUGGUUUAAAAAUGUGCAUCCUUGGUGCAAUGGAAUAUUGUGAAACUGCUGAAAAUGAGUCUCCUCACGAGUAAACAAAAUUGAUGAGACCGCGCUCGUGCACAGGCACACGGCGGGCGGCACAGCUCCCAGCGGUCACCGUUUACUGAACUGCCAGAAGUGGAGCGAUCACAAGCCGAGUCUGAUAGAGUCCCAUCUCAACCAGGCUCUCUGAGGCACCCAUGGUCGUUUGUAUCAAUGCCUGCCGGAGAUGCCACUGGCUUCAGCCUUUGCUCAAAAAGAGCAGCUCCACCUCUCAGCCGCUUGCCUGCCCGGGCUGCCCCCAGCAGCUGUUUCCCAGCCAGCCCCAGGCACGGCUCACUGCCAGGGAGCAGAAGAACAUGCCUGAGUGAAUCCUUCCAGUCCUCUUUGUCUCUACUGAGGAUUACUCCACUGCGUCCACAGCACAGCCACUGCUGGAGAGAGCGCUGCCGGGUCUGCUCACGUGGCAGGCUCGCUCGGAGCUGGGAAGCCAGUUGCUUCCUUGUGGACAAAGGCCUAACACUGUGACCUACGGAGUCCACAUUCCCCUGUUUGAAAGACAGAUAAUAACUUACUAAAAUAAAAUUUUGAUGCAUUUUUCAAUUUCUGACUUAUAACAUUCAAAUAACCCUAUUCUGAAGACAGUGUAAAAAUCACUAAAAUGAAUCUUCACGUUGCAUUUUUUUUCAGUUUGCUGGCUACUCAUUCCUAUGAAAUGUCUUUACAAGUUUAGCUUUAUAUGAUUGAGGUGAAACAGCACAAAACAUUCAAUUUCCUGUUAUAGUAGGUAUCUUGUUACUAACGGUGUCUUAGGACUCAAAUCAGAACAAAAAAAUAUCUUUACUAAUUUCCUUCCUUAACAACAUUCUGUGACUUGCUUCCUUUCAAAUCUCCUUUCGGAUGUAUAACUUUUCUAAUUUAGUGUGACUCUCCUUAUUUUCAAAAUAUACAUUCGAAUUUAUUUUCAAAUGUAUAUUUUACCUAAUUUACUGUUUCUCUUCCUAGUCUCGAAAUGUAUACACCUGAAUCACAUUUCAAAUGUAUGUUAUUGUCAUCAUCCAUUUGAAGUUUUGCUUCUUACUUGUCAAUUCAAGCACCCCCCUGCUAGCUGGAUCCCCAUACUGUUUCUGACAAUGUUGGGGGGUCUUGAAUUGUUCUCCAGUAUAAAAGGGAGCACAUAAAAGUGGUGGAUCAAGAACGGAUGUGUGUCCAGUUUAUGACUCAUCGCCAAUCUAGCUCAUUUCUUCCUACAUAGAGAUCUCACAUAACCAACGAAAGCUAUGUUUCAAAAUCAUCUGGGUCUGUGGUCUUAGUUCCACUUCCUCUAGUUAAGCCCUACUUACCUCUUACUCUUGGGUUAAGCAUCGCUUCCUCAGGGAAUCCUUCUCUGACCACAUCCUACCCCCACCACAAACUGAUCCAGACACUCCAGUUAUGUAAUCCAGCCUCUUAUGCUUUUCACCAUAGUGUUUAUUACAAUUUUUUAUUUAUGAUUCUCAGCACUUAUUUGAUUAAUGUCUAUCUCCCUUCACUAGACUCUUAAACUCAUUGAGGAGACUGAUAUUCUCUUACGCCCAUGUCCUGAGCCUAGAAUAAGGCUUGGCUCAUAGUAGAGGAUUCAUUAAAUAUUUAGUGAAUAAAUGAAUAAAUAAAUGAAUGAAUAAAGAGAUGAAAAAAUGAAAGAAUGACUACGGUUCUGGUCACUAGAACCAUGACCAGCACGUGGUGGCGCUCAAUAAAAUGAUAGCCGAUAUUAUCAUUGUGAGUCUCCACUCCAGAGCAAAUCAAUUUGCUGAGUGUUUCAGUUUGUUGAAAUUGAAUGGCUUCAAUUCGAUGAUUAUGGCUUCAGAAACUGAAAGUUAUGUGCUCCUUCAGGUAUGCAGUUUCCUGUAGUUGAACUGUUUUCUGUAGCUUUGCAAUAGACAGAUAUGUAGCUAGAAAUAGAAUGAUUUAUAUAUGUGUGUAUGAGUACAUGUAAAC